rnacentral:rRNA from 1 species
CCUACGGGAGGCUGCAGUGGGGAAUAUUGGACAAUGGGGGAAACCCUGAUCCAGCGAAGCCGCGUGAGUGAAGAAGUAUUUCGGUACGUAAAGCUCUAUCAGCAGGAAAGAAAAUGACGGUACCUGACUAGGAAGCCCCGGCUAACUACGUGCCAGCAGCCGCGGUCAUACGUAGGGGGCAAGCGUUAUCCGGAUUUACUGGGUGUAAAGGGAGCGUAGAGGGCAGUGGAAGUCUGGAGUGAAAUGCCGGGGCCCAAACCCGGAACUGCUCUGGAAACUGUGAAGCUGGAGUGCAGGAGAGGUAAGCGGAAUGCCUGGUGUAGCGGUGAAAUGCGUAGAUAUCAGGAAGAACACCGACGGCGAAGGCGGCUUACUGGACUGUAACUGACGUUGAGGCUCGAAAGCGUGGGUAGCAAACAGGAUUAGAUACCCUUGUAGUC